rnacentral:rRNA from 1 species
AGUCAACGCUGGCGGCGUGCCUCAGACAUGCAAGUCGAACGCGAAAGUUCCCUUCGGGGAGCAAGUAGAGUGGCGCACGGGUGAGUAACACGUAGGUAAUUUGCCUUCGGUGGGAAGUAACAGUCGAACGGACUGCUAAUACCGCACAAUGCAGCGGCUCGACAAUACGAGACAGUUGUUAAAGACGGGGGAUCCUUCGGGACCUCGACGCCUGAAGAGAAGCCUGCGGCAGA